rnacentral:lncRNA from 1 species
AGAUUGAAAGCUGUGUAGCUGCAACGAAUAAGCCAACAAAUCAACCAGAUUUUAUCUUUACAAAAUAAGGAAAUUUGUCUAUGUUUUAGGGAUUUGUUAUUCAGUAAUUUCUCUUAUGCAUGACCGUUGUACACACUAAUAUAUAUUUUGACAUUUCUGCCAAUUGAACUAGGAUUUGUGGACGUUGUUCUUAACAUUUUGAAGUCAAAGGGUUUGAUAAGAGUGAUUUUCGUAUAACUUGCAUUAUUUCGUUAAGCGAGCAAAAGGUUUUUGGACUUCAGAGAUAUAUGCGACCCAAAUUCAAAGAGAAUUGCCUAUAAAGAUCAGAUGUCAUGUUGAUCAUCUGAGUAUACUUUAAGCUUUGAAACUUUUCUCAACUGUACUAUUUUAUCUAUCUUAUGUAAGUAGUUUUUUUGAUUUAAUUUGCAUGUGGAAACUUCAUUUUUAUGAAUAAGAUGACUUAAGCUUAUAAUUUGCUAAGUUGAUCAUACUUUUCAUUGGAUCUCUCUGUCUUUACACGAAUUAACAUAUGCACAAUUCUGAAAAUCUGG